rnacentral:rRNA from 1 species
UGGGGAAUAUUGGACAAUGGGCGAAAGCCUGAUCCAGCCAUGCCGCGUGUGUGAAGAAGGUCUUCGGAUUGUAAAGCACUUUAAGUUGGGAGGAAGGGCAUUAACCUAAUACGUUAGUGUUUUGACGUUACCGACAGAAUAAGCACCGGCUAACUCUGUGCCAGCAGCCGCGGUAAUACAGAGGGUGCAAGCGUUAAUCGGACUUACUGGGCGUAAAGCGCGCGUAGGUGGUUUGUUAAGUUGGAUGUGAAAUCCCCGGGCUCAACCUGGGAACUGCAUUCAAAACUGACUGACUAGAGUAUGGUAGAGGGUGGUGAAAUUUCCUGUGUAGCGGUGAAAUGCGUAGAUAUAGGAAGGAACACCAGUGGCGAAGGCGACCACCUGGACUAAUACUGACACUGAGGUGCGAAAGCGUGGGGAGCAAACA